rnacentral:lncRNA from 10 species
AGGGCUUUUGCUUUAUGGAUUUGGAUGCCUUGUUGUUAGGCGCAUAAAUGUUCAUAUAUGUUUUGUGUGUUUUGUUUUUGUUUUUGUUUUUUGUUUUUCGGUUUUCUUUUUUGAGACGGAGUCUCGCUCUGUCGCCCAGGCUGGAGUGCAGUGGCAGGAUCUCAACUCACUGUAACCUCCACCUCCUGGGUUCAAGCGAUUCUCCUGCCUCAGC